UAGACCUUGGCUCUUUGAGUGCCUUCCCACAACACUUGACUAAAGUCUCUGGAGCAGGGUCAGAUGUGACCCAUAUUCUGUCCUUCUAGUCAGCAAUAUUCACUGAAUGCUCCCUCUAUCCACAGUAUCCAAAAGCAGUUUCCAGAUGGGAGGACCCAGGCAUUGUUUCCUAUUACAUGAGCCUCUGGAAGCUGUGCCAGGACAUGUGGGGAACAAAGUUACUUCUCACAUU
rnacentral:lncRNA from 1 species